rnacentral:lncRNA from 1 species
UUGGACCCACACCGCCAUCUUGGAUAAGCACCACCAUCUUGGACACACACCAUCUUGGACACACACGGCCAUCUUGGAUAAGCACCACCAUCUUGGACACACACCAUCUGGGACACACACUGCCAUCUUGGACCCAUAACACCAUCUUGGACAAGCACCGCCAUCUUGGACACACUGCCAGCUUGGAUACACACCACCAUCUUGAAAAAGCACCACCACCUUGGACACACAACACCUUGGACACACACUGCCAUCUUGGAUAAGGACCACCAUCUUGGACACACACCAUCUUGGG